rnacentral:rRNA from 1 species
CCUACGGGUGGCAGCAGUCGAGAAUCAUUCACAAUGGGGGAAACCCUGAUGGUGCGACGCCGCGUGGGGGAAUGAAGGUCUUCGGAUUGUAAACCCCUGUAAUGUGGGAGCAAAUUAAAAAGCUUGUACCACACGAGGCAGAGACGGCUAACCCUGUGCCAGCAGCCGCGGUAAUACAGAGGUCUCAAGCGUUGUUCGGAAUCACUGGGCGUAAGGGGUGCGUAGGCGGGUUCGUAAGUCGGGUGUGAAAGGCGCGGGCUCAACCCCCGGACGGCACAUGAUACUGCGAGACUAGAGUAAAGGAGGGGGAACCGGAAUUCUCGGUGUAGCGGUGAAAUGCGUAGAUAUCGAGAGGAACACUCGUGGCGAAGGCGGGUUACUGGACAGUAACUGACGCUGAGGCACGAAGGCGAGGGGAGCGAAAGGGAUUAGAUACCCCAGUAGUC